UUAUUUGAUAGUACCUUACUACUUGGAUAACCGUGGUAAUUCUAGAGCUAAUACAUGCUAAAAACCUCGACUUCGAAGGGGUGUAUUUAUUAGAUAAAAAACCAAUGCCUUUGGGCUUCAUGGUGAAUCAUAAUAACUUAACGAAUCGCAUGGCCUUGCGCCGGCGAUGGUUCAUUCAAAUUUCUGCCCUAUCAACUUCGAUGGUAGGUAGUGGCCUACCAUGGUAUCAACGGGUAACGGGGAAUUAGGGUUCUAUUCCGGAGAAGGAGCCUGAGAAACGGCUACCACAUCCAAGGAAGGCAGCAGGCGCGCAAACGACACGGGAGGUAGUGACAAUAAAUACUGAUACAGGGCUCUUUUGGGUCUUGUAAUUGGAUUGAGUACAAUUUAAAACCUUAACGAGGACAAUUGGAGGGCAAGUUGGUGCCAGCAGCCGCGGUAAUUCCAGAUCCAAUAGCGUAUAUUAAAGCUCGUGCAGUUAAAAAGCUCGUAGUUGAACCUUGGGCCUGGCUGGCGGUCCGCUCACCGCGUGUACUGGUCCGGCCGGGCUUUCCUUCUGGGAACGAUGCCCUUCAUGGGCGUGUGGUACCAGGACAUCGAAAAAAUUAGAGUGUUCAAAGCAGGCUUUGCUCGAAUACGUUAGAUGGAAUAAUAGAAUAGGACGUGGUUCUAUUUUGUUGGUUUCUAGGACCGCCGUAAUAGGGAUAGUCGGGGGCAUGUAUUCAAUUGUCAGAGGUGAAAUUCUUGGAUUAUUCAAGAACUACUGGAUUGCACAUUAAUCAGUGAACGAAAGUUAGGGGAUCGAAGACGAUCAGAUACCGUCGUAGUGUAACCAUAAACUAUGCCGACUAGGGAUGGGGGGUGUUAUAUUUUGACUCGCUCGGCACCUACAGAAAUCAAAGUUUUGGGUUCU
rnacentral:rRNA from 1 species